GACAGAGGGUGCAAACGUUGCUCGGAAUUACUGGGCGUAAAGCGCGUGUAGGCGGGCUGAUAAGUCGGAUGUGAAAUCCCUGAGCUCAACUCAGGAACUGCAUUCGAAACUGCCAGUCUGGAGUAGUGGAGAGGAAAGCAGAAUUCCUGGUGUAGAGGUGAAAUUCGUAGAUAUCAGGAGGAACACCGGUGGCGAAGGCGGCUUUCUGGACACUUACUGACGCUGAGACGCGAAAGCGUGGGGAGCAAACAGG
rnacentral:rRNA from 1 species